CACGUAGGGUGCGAGCGUUGUCCGGAAUUAUUGGGCGUAAAGAGCUCGUAGGCGGUGUGUCGCGUCGGCCGUGAAAACCUGCAGCUUAACUGUGGGCUUGCGGUCGAUACGGGCAUCACUGGAGUUCGGCAGGGGAGACUGGAAUUCCUGGUGUAGCGGUGAAAUGCGCAGAUAUCAGGAGGAACACCAGUGGCGAAGGCGGGUCUCUGGACAGUUCCUGACGGCUGAGGCACGAAGGCCAGGGGAGCAAACGGG
rnacentral:rRNA from 1 species